UACAGAGGGUGCAAGCGUUGUUCGGAAUUACUGGGCGUAAAGCGCGCGCAGGCGGUUCUACAAGUCAGUGGUGAAAGCCCGGAGCUCAACUCCGGAACUGCCAUUGAAACUGCAGAACUUGAGGAUGAGAGAGGUGAGUGGAAUUCCCAGUGUAGAGGUGAAAUUCGUAGAUAUUGGGAAGAACACCGGUGGCGAAGGCGGCUCACUGGCUCAUUUCUGACGCUCAGGCGCGACAGCGUGGGGAUCAAACAGG
rnacentral:rRNA from 1 species